GAGUUUGAUCCUGGCUCAGAUUGAACGCUGGCGGCAUGCCUUACACAUGCAAGUCGAACGGCAGCAUGAUCUAGCUUGCUAGAUUGAUGGCGAGUGGCGAACGGGUGAGUAAUACAUCGGAACGUGCCCUGUAGUGGGGGAUAACUAGUCGAAAGAUUAGCUAAUACCGCAUACGACCUGAGGGUGAAAGUGGGGGACCGCAAGGCCUCAUGCUAUAGGAGCGGCCGAUGUCUGAUUAGCUAGUUGGUGGGGUAAAGGCCCACCAAGGCGACGAUCAGUAGCUGGUCUGAGAGGACGAUCAGCCACACUGGGACUGAGACACGGCCCAGACUCCUACGGGAGGCAGCAGUGGGGAAUUUUGGACAAUGGGCGAAAGCCUGAUCCAGCAAUGCCGCGUGUGUGAAGAAGGCCUUCGGGUUGUAAAGCACUUUUGUCCGGAAAGAAAUGGCUCUGGUUAAUACCUGGGGUCGAUGACGUACUGAGUUAGGUKGGUC
rnacentral:rRNA from 1 species